rnacentral:rRNA from 1 species
UACGUAGGGGGCAAGCGUUGUCCGGAUUUAUUGGGCGUAAAGAGCGUGUAGGCGGCCAGGUAGGUCAGCUGUGAAAACUCGAGGCUCAACCUCGAGAUGUCGGCGGAAACCACUUGGCUAGAGUCCGGAAGAGGAGAGUGGAAUUCCUGGUGUAGCGGUGAAAUGCGCAGAUAUCAGGAAGAACACCUAUGGCGAAGGCAGCUCUCUGGGACGGUACUGACGCUGAGACGCGAAAGCGUGGGGAGCGAACAGG